rnacentral:misc_RNA from 1 species
AACCAUAGAAACCUGCGGAGUACCUGCGGAGGGAUCAUUACAGAGUUCAUGCCCUCACGGGUAGAUCUCCCACCCUUGAAUACUAUACCUUUGUUGCUUUGGCGGGCCGCUUUGGCUACUGGCUCUGGCUAGUAAGUGCCCGCCAAAGAACCCCAAAACUCUGAAUAUUAGUGUCGUCUGAGUACUAUAUAAUAGUUAAAACUUUCAGCAAUGGAUCU